rnacentral:rRNA from 1 species
GACAGAGGGGGCAAGCGUUGCUCGGAAUUACUGGGCGUAAAGGGCGCGUAGGCGGGAUGGCAAGUCGCUCGUGAAAUCCUUCGGCUCAACCGAAGAACGUCGAUCGAUACUGCUGUUCUAGAGGGUGGCAGAGGAGACUGGAAUUCCCGGUGUAGCGGUGAAAUGUGUAGAGAUCGGGAGGAACACCGGUGGCGAAGGCGGGUCUCUGGGCAACUCCUGACGCUGAGGCGCGAAAGCGUGGGGAGCAAACAGG